rnacentral:rRNA from 1 species
AUGGGGGACAUUGCCAAGGACUUGACAGCCGGAACCGUCGGAGGGAUCGCCAAUCUGGUUGUUGGGCACCCAUUUGACACCAUCAAGGUCAAGCUCCAGAGCCAGCCCAGCCCUGCUCCAGGCCAGCUUCCUAAGUAUGCCGGCGCCUUUGAUGCUGUCAAGCAAACGGUUGCGGCUGAAGGGCCAAGGGGACUCUACAAGGGGAUGGGGGCUCCUCUCGCUACUGUUGCAGCCUUUAACGCUCUCCUGUUCACUGUGAGGGGCCAGAUGGAGACUCUCUUGAGAUCGGAGCCUGGGGCGCCAUUGACGGUAAAACAGCAGGUUGUCGCUGGUGCUGGUGCUGGGCUUGCAGUCUCCUUCCUGGCAUGCCCAACCGAGCUGAUCAAGUGCAGGUUGCAGGCCCAGAGCUCUUUAGCUGAAGCAGGUGCUGUCUCCGGCGUGGCGCUACCCAAAGGGCCAAUGGAUGUGGCUAGGCAUGUCAUGAGGAACGCUGGCGUCAAAGGUCUGUUCAAGGGCAUUGUCCCAACAAUGGGCCGUGAGAUCCCCGGCAACGCCAUAAUGUUUGGCGUGUACGAGGCCGUUAAGCAGUACAUGGCCGGCGGUCGGGACACGUCUGGCCUCGGCCAGGGCUCUCUCAUCCUUGCCGGUGGCCUCGCCGGAGGAGCUCUGUGGCUCACGGUGUACCCAACCGACGUCGUGAAGAGCGUGAUCCAGGUGGACGACUACAAGAAGCCGAGGUACUCGGGGUCGAUCGACGCUCUCAAGAAGAUCGUCGCGGCCGACGGGGUCAAGGGCCUGUACAAGGGGUUCGGCCCCGCCAUGGCCCGCAGCGUCCCGGCAAAUGCCGCCACCUUCGUGGCCUACGAGAUCACGCGGUCGGCCAUGGGCUGA